CGGACGGGUGAGUAACGCGUGAGAAUCUGCCCUUAGGAGGGGGAUAACGGUUGGAAACGACCGCUAAGACCCCAUAUGCCGAGAGGUGAAACAAAUUUUGCCUGAGGAUGAGCUCGCGUCCGAUUAGCUAGUUGGUAAGGUAAGAGCUUACCAAGGCGACGAUCGGUAGCUGGUCUGAGAGGAUGGUCAGCCACACUGGGACUGAGACACGGCCCAGACUCCUACGGGAGGCAGCAGUGGGGAAUUUUCCGCAAUGGGCGAAAGCCUGACGGAGCAAGACCGCGUGAGGGAAGAAGGUCUGUGGAUUGUAAACCUCUUUUGAUAGGGAAGAAGUUCUGACGGUACCUGUCGAAUCAGCCUCGGCUAACUCCGUGCCAGCAGCCGCGGUAAUACGGAGGAGGCAAGCGUUAUCCGGAAUUAUUGGGCGUAAAGCGUCCGUAGGUGGAUGUUCAAGUCUUCUGUCAAAGCGCGGAGCUUAACUCCGUAAAGGCAGAGGAAACUGAGCGUCUAGAGUGCGAUAGGGGCAAGGGGAAUUCCCAGUGUAGCGGUGAAAUGCGCAGAUAUUGGGAAGAACACCGGUGGCGAAAGCGCCUUGCUGGGUCUGCACUGACACUGAGGGACGAAAGCUAGGGGAGCGAAAGGGAUUAGAUACCCC
rnacentral:rRNA from 1 species